UUAUCUAGGUUUGGCGCUAAAUAUAUAGCGCAAGUGCGAGCCAAACGGACGGCUUAACAUCGAGCCAGGUGGCAGACAUUUUCCUCGGAGAACGACGGAUCGCUCAGCCCAGGGAGAAACGAAACGGCGGCUCGAAACUCCCGUAGCGAGGAGCUGCAUUUAGCUGAUUACUAAUUAAUAACCUUUGAAUUAGGCCUCUGAAUGGCAGAAAAGGGUUGCAAGCAGGCAUAGAUACGUCCCAAUUAGGAAUCGCGGCAGCACACAAUUUCUUUUCCAUUUCGGCGGACUCUUAUUUUUGGUUAAUUACUCUUAGAGAGCCAUCGAUGACGUAGAAAUCUCCACGUUCCAUUUUGUCGCCAUGUUCCCCUUGCGCACUUAAAGAAGGGAACGAGAAGAGGAGGAACGAAAAGGAGAGGGGAGAAUAAACAAGUCCAGCAGUUGCAAUCGCGGUUUCUUGUUCGGCGGGCGAGCAAAAGUUUUGUCGCGCGGUCUGGCCGUAAUUUGGUGAAUCCGACCAGAGGAAAAUCCGCUGAUCGACGGCGCGGGAAAAACCCCCUUAGUGAGCGAGAAGGCCGGAAAAUAGUGGAGAGAUUUUUUUUGUAUAGCGGAAUAAGUUAUUAUGUAAAUGAAAAGUGGCAGUGCGAAGCAGAGAGGGAAAGACAAGGAAAAGAGUCCAUCAUUUUUUUUAGUGUCCCUUAUGUGCUCCGUCUUCUUCUUCCUUUUUUUGUUUCUUUUGUUCAGUUUUAGCAAGCCUAUGAUUAAGCAAUAAGGCACAGUGGGUCAAAGACCAAUACAGAGAGUGAAAAAAUAUUUAAGUUUCCCACAGGUGCGGCAGACUCCAACGGAAGCGCUUUCGUCGGUGGAACUCCGGAUUGUUGGACUCACGAAACCAGUGGCAGAUUGUGUUUGCCAUGACCGCUGUUGUUUUUUUCAUUGGCAACCUGGUGUACCUAAUUUGGGGCACCACUGAUCAGCAGUCUUGGGAUGCGGAAGACUAUCUGAAGACGAAGGACCCGGAAAACGAACCGAAUGCCCAUCAAAUGGAUUUUAAGCCAAGGCCGGAUUCAGAGGCUAAGGCAGAUAUAAAAGCAAAAUAAUUCGCGAAAGUAAUUUCUGGAACGCAAGGAAGUGCGAAAUGUAAAGCCGAUCUAUCUGGCCAGCAUUGUCUAAAUGCAUAUCGGGCGUAGCGUAUGCCAUUUAAUUAAAAAUUCUUAAAACGUU
rnacentral:sRNA from 1 species